AAUGAUGAUGCGAAAUUCCAUUUGUGUGAAUGUAAUAUUUAUAAGUACAAAAAUCACAUUAGAUGUUCGUGUCCUGUUCAUUUCUAUACAAUGCAAAAAGAAAUUCCGAUCUUAAUUGUUACAAAUAAUUAUCAUAGACAACAGUGUCCUUUCGAAAUAUUGUUAGGUUUACACCGGUAAUAACUCUAAACUAUUUAGACGCCGCAUUUUGUAUUUGCUCUUUAAAGCGUUUGAGGCACUCGGAUUCGUAUCAUCAUUCGUAUCAUUGCGACUAUGGCUAGGUUUUUAAGAACCAGCCGUCAAAAGAAACUCUUCGUUAAAAUACUUCCAGUCGUUUGCGUUUUAACCUUUUUAGCACCUUCAAUAUACCAAAUUGUUACAAUGCAAAGGACGCAGUCCAAAAUAAACGAUCCAAAAUGAUGAGUUUCCUUGUCAACAAAGGAAGGAAUUUCUUGAAGUUUUCAUCUUGCCUUGCUAGCAAAGGAUUCAGCUUUAAUUAUGGUUCAUUAAACAAAUGUGGCGUUAAUAACCUGCAUGCUCAAAGGUUGAGCACAUCUUAUGUAUUUGAAUCAAGACAACUUCCCAAGAGUUCUGUAGCACAUCGAAAGGAAACUAUUGGUGGACAAGAUAUCAACUUUGAAGUUCUCGAAAAAAGUAAUGACAACACUGCUGUAGGCCCUAGUAUAAAAUAUGAAGUACAUGAAUUGUGUAGAGAUGAAGAUUUUCGUCAGACUGGGGAAUCCUAUAGACAAAUAUUUGAUGGUGGCUACAUGAUGAAAAUUAAAAAUAUGCAUGUUUUAAAAAGAAUGCAACUUGUUUUUGCUGUGGUUUCAACUCCUUUGUUUUUUUAUCAAUUUCCACUGUUUUAUGCUGCGUCAUUUGCAAUACCAGUGGCAAUUCUUACUAAAGUUGUUGUGAGAAAAGUAAAUGGUAUGCACCGUUUUGCUACACACAUAUAUUUUGAUGACCACAACAAGAAGUUGAAGCUGUGUUUUAUCAAUUCCAAAGGAAAAAAAAAAGAGCUUGUCAAACAUGUAUCUGAAUUUUUGCCUUUACAUUCUGUAAUUGGGCGAAGCAAUGUGUAUGUGUUGAAAACGUUUGAAGAUGAUAAAUUUUAUAUUGAUAUAUCGGAUUGUUAUAUGCAAGAAAUUGAGAAUUUGAAAAAUAUUUUUAUGCUUACCCAGCCAUAUAACCAGAUGUAGUAACUACCUAAACAUGUCCAACAUGUUUUGUGCUUGAAAACAUAAAUCAAAAUAAAGAUAGUGGUUAUAA